rnacentral:rRNA from 1 species
AACGAACGCUGGCGGCAGGCUUAACACAUGCAAGUCGAACGGUCUCUUCGGAGGCAGUGGCAGACGGGUGAGUAACGCGUGGGAACAUACCUUUCGGUACGGAACAACAGUUGGAAACGACUGCUAAUACCGUAUACGCCCUGAGGGGAAGGAUUUAUCGCCGAGAGAUUGGCCCGCGUUGGAUUAGCUAGUUGGUGGGGUAAUGGCCUACCAAGGCGACGAUCCAUAGCUGGUCUGAGAGGAUGAUCAGCCACACUGGGACUGAGACACGGCCCAGACUCCUACGGGAGGCAGCAGUGGGGAAUAUUGGACAAUGGGCGCAAGCCUGAUCCAGCCAUGCCGCGUGAGUGAUGAAGGCCUUAGGGUUGUAAAGCUCUUUCGCCGGUGAAGAUAAUGACGGUAACCGGUAAAGAAGCCCCGGCUAACUUCGUGCCAGCAGCCGCGGUAAGUCACACUACA